GAUGAAGAACGCAGCGAAAUGCGAUAAGUAAUGUGAAUUGCAGAAUUCAGUGAAUCAUCGAAUCUUUGAACGCACAUUGCGCCCCUUGGUAUUCCGAGGGGCAUGCCUGUUCGAGCGUCAUUAUAACCCUCAAGCUCAGCUUGGUGUUGGGGCCUGCUGCAGUGGCAGCCCUUAAAAUCAGUGGCGGCGCCAUCUGGCUCUAAGCGUAGUAAUUCUUCUCGCUAUGGAGUCCUGGUGGAUGCUUGCCAUCAACCCCCAAUUUUUCUAUGGUUGACCUCGGAUCACGUAGGGAUACCCGCUGAACUUAAGCAUAUCAAUAAGCGGAGGA
rnacentral:misc_RNA from 1 species